rnacentral:rRNA from 1 species
GAUGAACGCUGGCGGCGUGCCUAACACAUGCAAGUCGAGCGAAGCACUUUGCUUAGAUUCUUCGGAUGAAGAGGAUUGUGACUGAGCGGCGGACGGGUGAGUAACGCGUGGGUAACCUGCCUCAUACAGGGGGAUAACAGUUAGAAAUGACUGCUAAUACCGCAUAAGACCACAGCACCGCAUGGUGCGGGGGUAAAAACUCCGGUGGUAUGAGAUGGACCCGCGUCUGAUUAGCUAGUUGGUAAGGUAACGGCUUACCAAGGCGACGAUCAGUAGCCGACCUGAGAGGGUGACCGGCCACAUUGGGACUGAGACACGGCCCAAACUCCUACGGGAGGCAGCAGUGGGGAAUAUUGCACAAUGGGGGAAACCCUGAUGCAGCGACGCCGCGUGAGCGAAGAAGUAUUUCGGUAUGUAAAGCUCUAUCAGCAGGGAAGAAAAUGACGGUACCUGACUAAGAAGCACCGGCUAA